ACUAAAUUGUCAACUAGUGUACAGUCAACUAUGCUCGAAUCAAUGAUUUCAAAUUAAUUAAUUAUACAUUAAAAAUGUAAUUGUUCAUAAAUCUUUAUAAUAGUCACAUCUAUAUCUAUAUCUAUACUAAUAUAUAAAUCUAUAGGCUCUGUCUGUACAUGGUGAUUUUAUUUCGAAUUAUGCGUCAAAUAUCAUUUUUAUGACCUACUCAUACUGUAUCUACCUUUUUUAGAAUUUUCGUCUGUCUGUCUCUCUGUCGGUUUGUACCUUUAUAACUAAUCAACCACUUAUCUGAUUGAGAUGAAAUUUUUUAUACAUAUACAAGAUGCUGUCACUUAAAAUAUAGGCUACUUUUUAAAUCAAUUAUAAAUCAGAAUUCGGAUUAGAUUUUGUUUCAUUUAUCAAUUGUUUCUGUCAAUUGAAUCGUCUAUCACAUUUCAUUAAGCAGUCAAAAUAAGAGUGUCUAAUCUGACUUAUUUGUAACUAAGAUUAAAAAGACAAAAUUACGUAUCUUACGCAAUAUGUAAAAUAAAUGAAGAUCAUAACCUAUAAAUAAUCAUUUAUAUUAUUUAUAAACAAUUUUUGUGCAUUAACUUAUA